AUCAAACGAGUUUGCGUGGCAUCCGGGGCACAGGUCGACGACUCUCACCUUGACAGUGGGAGUUCCCGAACAGCCUCCGGAGCCGGACACAGCGCCUUUGCAAGUUAUCUCGAACAAUGAGAUUUCCCGGCGGGAACUUGCUCGUGUCGAAGCCAUAGCAGGACGAGGCUGCAGUGGCUUGUGAGAACACUUUCUGGAAGAAGAAAUGGAGAUUCACUUACGAA